AAAAAACUACCAAAACCGAGAACCUCAAGAAGUGGAGAUUUCUCGGCUGUUGAGGAACACCGGAGGUCGCUCCGGCCACCACGUCACCAGAAACGGACCAAGAGGAGUACUAGGGAUGGAAGGAGGAAGAAAUUUACAUGUGGGAUGGCUUGUAUUGAGCUCAAACGCAGUUUCUUCCUUGAAACCCUAGCAAUGGCGUUUUUUUAUUAGAUUCACAAGAUAACUUUCGAGAUUUUUCAAACAAAAGAAGGAAAGGGAACGAUCUAAUAGUCAAAGGGAUCACAUUGGUUUCUAAGAUUCGAAAGGCACAGGCUUAAAACGGGAAAACAGAAACAGACGUUACCUGCGUGAGGAAGGAGACAGCUUUUCCGAGUUUGGCACAUAUGGUCCCUGUGGUAUUGGCAUAUUACAGAUUCUACCCCAUUUGCUAUUUCUCUUAAUUAAAUGGUUUCUAAAAUUGUAAACAGCUUACAAAUAUUACCAAUAUUACCAAUAUUUUUAGAAUUGAUUUAGUUUAAUCAACUUACAAAUAUUACCAAUAUUUUUCAUUUUAGUUAUUUAUUUAUUUUUAUUUUUAUUUUCAUUUUCUUUAUAUUAUUAUUUAUUUAUUUUUGUUUCGAUUAUUUGAAUAUUAUUUAUUAACCCUUUCUUAGAAUAAUUAAACGGAAACGCGCAUUACAAAUAUGGAACAAUUUGUAUCAGUGCUUCAAAACUUGGGUUGUUUGACUUUUUUUAAGUUAAUUUCUAUGUUGGAAACGAAUCGGCAUGAUAAGUUGAUCGAUUUUGGGUUUCUAAAUGCCCAACUGUUUCAAGGGUCGAUAAUUUGGUGGUUUUAUUUGUAAUUUGAAUAAUAAUGUUGGAAGUUUCUUACUUCAUAUAGUCUGAGAGUUCAGAUUGAGUUGAUGGUUUUGAUUAUUUAUAUAUUUCUCAUUUAAAUAAGCUAAUUUUAUACUAAAAUUGCUAUUCAAAUAGGGUUUGUGGGUGUUCUAAAAUUGAUUGUUUUUUUUUUCAUUGAUGCAGUUCGAGAUGUUGUAGAGGGUUCCAUGCUGACACAAGGUGAUGAUUUGACUAUGGCUCAUUUUUCCUUGGGCAACUUUUAUUUUGAGUAAAAAUGAUAAUUUUGUUAAGGUCACUUUCCUAUUCUUCAAUCAUUUGAAUAAUAUUUUUGGAAGUUUUGUUGCUUCAUAUAGUCUAGACUAGAGGUGGCAAUCGUGUCGUGUCGG
rnacentral:lncRNA from 1 species